UACGUAGGGUGCAAGCGUUGUCCGGAAUUAUUGGGCGUAAAGAGCUCGUAGGCGGUUUUGUCGCGUCUGCUGUGAAAACUGGAGGCUCAACCUCCAGCCUGCAGUGGGGUACGGGCAAACUAGAGUGCGGUAGGGGGAGAUUGGAAUUCCUGGUGUAGCGGUGGAAUGCGCAGAUAUCAGGAGGAACACCGAUGGCGAAGGCAGAUCUCUGGGCCGUAACUGACGCUGAGGAGCGAAAGCAUGGGGAGCGAACAGG
rnacentral:rRNA from 1 species